rnacentral:rRNA from 1 species
AACGAACGCUGGCGGCGUGGAUAAGACAUGCAAGUCGAGCGGGAACUUUCGCUGUAGCAAUACAGUGAAAGUUCUAGCGGCGAACGGGUGCGUAACACGUGGACAAUCUGCCUUAAAGUGGGGGAUAGCUCGGCGAAAGCCGAAUUAAUACCGCAUGUGAUGAGAGACGACAUCGUCUUGAAAUCAAAGCCGGGGCAACCUGGCGCUUUUUGAGGAGUCCGCGGCCAUCAGCUUGUUGGUGAGGUAACGGCUCACCAAGGCUAUGACGGGUAGCUGGUCUGAGAGGACGACCAGUCACACUGGAACUGAGACACGGUCCAGACACCUACGGGU